CGGUCUUUCAAAUGCAGAUCCAGGGAUCAGCGUUCGCGCCUGUGUAACUUUGAAGCUGCACUGCAACGUGGCUCCGUAUUGGUGCAGCGCUUUACCACAGGUGUAUUCCUUAAAAACUGAGUUGAAAAACCGCAGGCUUGAGAAUGUCAGAAAAUAAUAAAAUAUGCCUUUUACCUAGUCCAGCUGGCAAGUCAAAUCCCACAAAGUCCAACAGUCUGGAUUUCUUAUUAAGAAUGUAUUGUGAUGCUUCGAGGGCUCACCAAAGGAUGGAGCCAGCCCCUCUGCAUGCUUGCGUGCUUCUAUUGUGCCACAGCCAUCUCAGCUAUUCCAAAUUCUGCUCCGCAGCUAGAGGUGAUC